UACGUAGGCAGCAAGCGUUGUUCGGAGUUACUGGGCGUAAAGGGUGUGUAGGCGGUUUUUUAAGUUUGGUGUGAAAUCUCCCGGCUCAACUGGGAGGGUGCGCCGAAUACUGAAAGACUAGAGUGCGGGAGAGGAAAGUGGAAUUCCUGGUGUAGCGGUGAAAUGCGUAGAUAUCAGGAGGAACACCGGUGGUGUAGACGGCUUUCUGGACCGUAACUGACGCUGAGACACGAAAGCGCGGGGAGCGAACAGG
rnacentral:rRNA from 1 species